rfam:Pluralibacter gergoviae strain JS81F13 contig_47, whole genome shotgun sequence.
UCAAGGCGAAGGACGCCAGAGGGAUACGAACUCAGGACGAGGGUCAGGAGCGCCAGGAGGCGAAGACGACGGACUUGCCAGGAGGCAGCGUCAGGAGACGCAGUACAGGGAAAAGGAACGCAACACGGAGCGUUUAGCGCCAAGGGAAAGACAGGGUGUGUUGGUGGCGGACAUGGAGCGUAAGGCCCGUUAAGGGUUGUGAAACGGAAAAAAGGCGACAGAUCACUCUGUCGCCUUUUUUCUUUGUUCGCUU